rfam:Homo sapiens chromosome 7, GRCh38 reference primary assembly.
UAUUAGGAUGGUGCAAAAGGAAUUGCGGUUUUUGCCAUUGAAAAUAAUGGCAAAAACCGCAAUUCCUUUUGCACCAACCCAAUA